UGGCUCAACCAUAGAACUGCAUUGGAAACUGGUUACCUAGAGUAUGGGAGGGGGAGAUGGAAUUAGUGGUGUAGGGGUAAAAUCCGUAGAUAUCACUAGGAAUACCGAAAGCGAAGGCGAUCUCCUGGAACAAUACUGACGCUAAGGCGUGAAAGCGUGGGGAGCAAACGGGAUUAGAUACCCCGGUAGUCCACGCCCUAAACGAUGUUCACUAGUCGUCGGAAUGCUAGUCAUUUCGGUGAUGCACUUAACAGAUUAAGUGAACCGCCUGGGGAGUACGGUCGCAAGAUUAAAACUCAAAGGAAUAGACGGGGACCCGCACAAGUGGUGGAGCAUGUGGUUUAAUUCGAAGAUACGCGAAGAACCUUACCUAGCCUUGACAUUGAAGAAACACACUAGAGAUAGAGUGGUGCCCUUCGGGGAAUCUGAAAACAGGUGCUGCACGGCUGUCGUCAGCUCGUGUCGUGAGAUGUUGGGUUAAGUCCCGCAACGAGCGCAACCCUCGUCCUUAGUUGCCAGCAGGUUAAGCUGGGCACUUUAAGGAGACUGCCUUCGCAAGAAGGAGGAAGGUGAGGACGACGUCAAGUCAUCAUGGCCCUUAUGGCUAGGGCUACACACGUGCUACAAUGGGGCGUACAGAGAGUUGCGAUACCGCGAGGUGGAGCCAAUCUCAUAAAGCGUCUCUCAGUUCGGAUUGAAGUCUGCAACUCGACUUCAUGAAGCUGGAAUCACUAGUAAUCGUAGAUCAGCAAUGCUACGGUGAAUACGU
rnacentral:rRNA from 1 species